rnacentral:rRNA from 1 species
CCUACGGGUGGCAGCAGUGAGGAAUAUUGGUCAAUGGACGAGAGUCUGAACCAGCCAAGUAGCGUGAAGGAUGACUGCCCUAUGGGCUGUAAACUUCUUUUAUAAAGGAAUAAAACGAGGCACGUGUGCAUUUUUGCCUGUACUUUAUGCUUACGGAUCGGCUAACUCUGUGACAGCAGCCGCGGCAAUACGGAGGAUCCGAGCGUUAUCCGGAUUUAUUGGGUUUAAAGGUAGCGUAGAUGGGUUGGUAAGUCAGUGGUGAAAGUUUGCUGCUCAACCGUAAGAUUGCAAUUGAUACUGGCAGACUUGAGUACAGGUGAGGUGAGCGGAAUUCGUGGUGUAGCGGUGAAAUGCUUAGAUAUAACGAAGAACCCCGAUGGCGAAGGCAGCUUACUAAACUGUAACUGACACUGAGGCUCGAAAGUGUGGGGAUCAAACAGGAUUAGAUACCCCAGUAGUC